CCUACGGUGUGCUGCAGUGAGGAAUAUUGGUCAAUGGGCGGGAGCCUGAACCAGCCAAGUCGCGUGAGGGAAGACGGUCCUACGGAUUGUAAACCUCUUUUGCCGGGGAGCAACGGGGUCCUUGCGAGGGCCCGAUGAGAGUACCCGGAUAAAACGCAUCGGCUAACUCCGUGCCAGCAGCCGGGGUAAUACGGAGGAUGCGAGCGUUAGCCGGGUUUAUUGGGUUUAAAGGGUGCGUAGGCGGGCUGUUAAGUCCCCGGUCAAAUGUAGGGGCUCCACCCCGGCCUGCCGUUGAAACUGGCGGCCUCGAGUGGGCGAGAAGUAUGCGGAAGGCGUGGUGUAGCGGUGAAAUGCAUAGAUAUCACGCAGAACUCCGAUUGCGAAGGCAGCAUACCGGCGCCCGACUGACGCUGAGGCACGAAAGCGUGGGUAUCGAACAGGAUUAGAUACCCCAGUAGUC
rnacentral:rRNA from 1 species